rnacentral:rRNA from 1 species
AUUGAACGUUGGCGGCACGCCUAAUACAUGCAAGUCGAACGAGAAAGCACUUCGGUGUGAGUACAGUGGCGGACGGGUGAGUAACGCGUAGGAAUCUACCUAGUAGUGGGGGACAACUCGAGGAAACUCGAGCUAAUACCGCAUACGCUCUUAGGAGGAAAGUGGGGGAUCUUCGGACCUCACGCUAUUAGAGGAGCCUGCGUUAGAUUAGCUUGUUGGUGAGGUAAAGGCUCACCAAGGCGACGAUCUAUAGCUGGUCUGAGAGGACGAUCAGCCACACUGGAACUGAGACACGGUCCAGACUCCUACGGGAGGCAGCAGUAGGGAAUCUUGGGCAAUGGGCGAAAGCCUGACCCAGCGAUGCCGCGUGUGCGAAGAAGGCCUUAGGGUUGUAAAGCACUUUCAGUCGUGAAGAAAAGCUACGAUUUAAUAUGUCGUGGUCUUGACGUUAGCGACAGAAGAAGUACCGGCUAACUCCGUGCCAGCAGCCGCGGUAAUACGGAGGGUACGAACGUUAAUCGGAAUUACUGGGCGUAAAGCGCGCGUAGGCGGUUUGAUAAGUGGGAUGUGAAAGCCCCGGGCUCAACCUGGGAACUGCAUUCCAAACUGUCAAACUAGAGUGUGGUAGAGGGCGGUAGAAUUUCCUGUGUAGCGGUGAAAUGCGUAGAUAUAGGAAGGAAUACCGAUGGCGAAGGCAGCCGCCUGGACCAACACUGACGCUGAGU